UUUUUUGCAAUUUCUUAGUUGGUCUAAUAAAAGGUACCAUCUCUAAACCAAGAGCUCUAGAGUUUUGCAUUCCAGGAAAUUCCAUUUUAGCUUUUCCAAA